AGUCAUAUGCUUGUCUCAAAGAUUAAGCCAUGCAUGUCUAAGUAUAAGCAUUAUACAGUGAAACUGCGAAUGGCUCAUUAAAUCAGUUAUCGUUUAUUUGAUAGUUCAUUACUACUUGGGUAACCGUGGUAAUUCUAGAGCUAAUACAUGCUAAAACUCCCUUCACGGGGAUGUAUUUAUUAGAUAAANNNCCAAUGCCUUUGGGCUUUUUGGUGAUUCAUAAUAACUUCUCGGAAUCGCAUGGCCUUGCGCCGGCGAUGGUUCAUUCAAAUUUCUGCCCUAUCAACUUUCGAUGGUAGGAUAGUGGCCUACCAUGGUUUCAACGGGUAACGGGGAAUAAGGGUUCUAUUCCGGAGAGGGAGCCUGAGAAACGGCUACCACAUCCAAGGAAGGCAGCAGGCGCGCAAAUUACCCAAUCCUGACACGGGGAGGUAGUGACAAUAAAUAACGAUGCAGGGCCCAUUGGGUCUUGUAAUUGGAAUGAGUACAAUUUAAACACCUUAACGAGGAACAAUUGGGGGGCAAGUCUGGUGCCAGCAGCCCGGUAAUUCCAGCCCCAAUACCGUAUAUUAAUGUUGUUGCAGUUAAAAAGCUCGUAGUUGAACUUCGGAUCUUGCCAGCGGUCCGCCGUUAGUGUGUUACUGGUUUUGGCAGGUCUUCCUUCUGAUACGGGCCAUCUUCACCGGGGAUGUGGUUUUAAGUUCCAAGUAACUUUUACUUUGAAAAAAUUAGAGUGUUCAAAGCAGGCCUAUUGCUCGAAUAUAUUAGCUUGGAAUAAUAAAAUAGGACGAUUCGGUUCUAUUUUGUUGGUUUCUAGGACCGCCGUAAUGAUUAAUAGGGACAGUCGGGGGCAUCAGUACUCAGUUGUCAGAGGUGAAAUUCUUGGAUUAACUGAAGACUAACUACUGCGAAAGCAUUUGCCAAGGAUGUUUUCAUUAAUCAAGAACGAAAGUUAGGGGAUCGAAGAUGCUUAGAUACCGUCGUAGUCUUAACCAUAAGCUAUGCCGACUAGGGAUCGGCCGAUGUCCUUUUUAUUGACACGCUCGGCACCUUACGAGAAAUCAAAGUUUUUGGGUUCUGGGGGGAGUAUGGUCGCAAGCCUGAACCUUAAAGGAAUUGACGGAAGGGCACCACUAGGAGUGGAGCCUGCGGCUAAUUUGACUCAACACGGGGAAANUCACCAGGUCCAGACACCAAUAAGGAUUGACAGAUUGAGAGCUCUUCUUGAUUUUGUGGGUGGUGGUGCAUGCCGUUCUUAGUUGGUGGAGUGAUUUGUCUCCUUAAUUGCGAUAACGAACGAGACCUUAACCUACUAAAUAGCUCGACUAGCAUUUUGCUGGUUUGCAAGCUUCUUAGAGGGACUAUCGAUUUCAAGUCGAUGGAAGUUUGAGGCAAUAACAGGUCUGUGAUGCCCUUAGACGUUCUGGGCCGCACGCGCGCUACACUGACGGAGCCAGCGAGUAUAAUCCUUGGUCCGAGAGGUCUGGGUAAUCUUGUUAAACUCCGUCGUGCUGGGGAUAGAGCAUUGUAAUUAUUGCUCUUCAACGAGGAAUCCCUAGUAAGCGCAAGUCAUCAGCUUGCGUUGAAUACGUUUCUGCCCUUUGUACACACCGCCCGUCGCUACUACCGAUUGAAUGGCUUAGUGAGGCCUCCGGAUUGGCGAGAAAGAUGGGCAACUAUCAUUUCUUGCCGAAAAGCUGGUCAAACUUGGUCAUUUAGAGGAAGUAAAAGUCGUAACAAGGUU
rnacentral:rRNA from 1 species